AUUGAACGCUGGCGGCAGGCCUAACACAUGCAAGUCGAGCGGAUGACGGGAGCCUGCUCCUUGAUUCAGCGGCGGACGGGUGAGUAAUGCCUAGGACUCUGCCUGGUAGUGGGGGACAACGUUUCGACAGGAACGCUAAUACCGCAUACGUCCUACGGGAGAAAGCAGGGGACCUUCGGGCCUUGCGCUAUCAGAUGAGCCUAGGUCGGAGUAGCUAGUUGGUGGGGUAAUGGCUCACCAAGGCGACGAUCCGUAACUGGUCUGAGAGGAUGAUCAGUCACACUGGAACUGAGACACGGUCCAGACUCCUACGGGAGGCAGCAGUGGGGAAUAUUGGACAAUGGGCGAAAGCCUGAUCCAGCCAUGCCGCGUGUGUGGAGAAGGUCUUCGGAUUGUAAAGCACUUUAAGUUGGGAGGAAGGGCAGUAAGUUAAUACCUUGCUGUUUUGACGUUACCGACAGAAUAAGCACCGGCUAACUCUGUGCCAGCAGCCGCAGUAAAAC
rnacentral:rRNA from 1 species